CAGCAGCCACGGUAAUACGAAGGGUGCAAGCGUUAAUCGGAAUUACUGGGCGUAAAGCGUGCGUAGGCGGUGAGUUAAGUCUGCUGUGAAAUCCCCGGGCUCAACCUGGGAAUGGCAGUGGAUACUGGCUCGCUAGAGUGUGUCAGAGGAUGGUGGAAUUCCCGGUGUAGCGGUGAAAUGCGUAGAGAUCGGGAGGAACAUCAGUGGCGAAGGCGGCCAUCUGGGACAACACUGACGCUGAGGCACGAAAGCGUGGGGAGCAAACAGAAUUAGAUACCCCUGUAGUCCCUGUCUCUUAUAA
rnacentral:rRNA from 1 species